ensembl:lncRNA
CCCGGAUGCUCCUGACCUAGUUCCCAUGCCAGAAGAAAUGAAACCUUAUGUACACCAAAGAUUCAUGAAGGCUUCUGGUGGCUUUAUUCACAAUAGCUCCAAACUGGAAGCAACCUGUCCAUUAACAUGAAAAUGGAUAUACAAACUGUGAUAUAGUCACACUGCCCAGCAAUAGAGUUACAAAUAAACAAUGCCUGUAGUCAUGUAUGGAUGUGAGAGUUGGGCCAUGAAGAAGGCUGAGCACUGAAGAAUUGAUGCUUUUAAACUGCGGUGCUGGAGAACAUACCUGAGAGUCCUUUGGACAGCAAGGAGAUUAAACCAGUCCAUCCUAUAGGAAAUCAACCCUGAAUCUUCAUUGAAAGGACUGAUGCUGAAGCUGAAGCUCCAAAACUUUGGCCACCUGAUGUGAAGAGCCAACUCUUUGGAAAAGAUCCCAUUGCUGGGAAAGACUGAAGGCAGGAGGAGAAGAGGGCAACAGAGGAUGAGAUGGUUGGAUGGCAUCACUGAUUCUGUGGACAUGAAUUUAAACAACUCCAGGAGAUGGAGAAGGACAGG